CUCUGUAUCCUGUCAUCUCCUCCCUUCUCUCAACCUAACCCUAUCCCCCUUUCAAUCGCCUCCGUUCUCUCAACCUUACCCUAUCCCCCUUUCAAUCGCCUCCCUUCCCCAGUCUUCUCCAGUGACCACCCUUCAACUCCUAAGCCUUCAAUGGCUCCUCUAUUGCCGUGUUCAAACUCCUCUAAGGUAUUCAAGGGCCCUGGGCCACACUGACUUACAUCUAAGGUUAGCUAUUUCGACUUUUCUUAGUUACUCCUGUGUGAUUUCGAGCAAGAUCACACUAUCUUUGUUACGAUCUUUGAGUUUCUAAACAGGCUCUUUCAUCUAUACUUGGGUUUCUUCUGAAACCCUAGCUUUGCUUACAACUCCUAGAUCUAUGCUAGUUUUAAAGGAU
rnacentral:lncRNA from 1 species